rnacentral:misc_RNA from 1 species
ACAACUGGAAACAUACAAGAACUUUGUUUUCAUUUGUCUCGAAGGCAAGUCAUACUGGAAAUGCUUACAGUAACCGAAAGGAAACUACCAAAACUAUAUCCUCCACAUAAUUCCAAGGUUAAAACUAUAAAAAUGUACAUACAAGGGAAAAAAACUUAUCUAGAGAACUAGAGACAGCUAAGGCAAUCACAUGGGCACCCGACAAGUGCUGCCAGCGGAGGCCUCCAGGGCAGUCUCCUGAACAAGGAUGUUAACCAAGAACAA